rnacentral:tRNA from 3 species
GGAGCCAUAGCUCAAUCGGCCAGAGCGCCCGGCUGUCUACCGGGAGGCUGCGGGUUCGAGCCCCGCUGGUUCCG